rnacentral:rRNA from 1 species
GACGAACGCUGGCGGCGUGCUUAACACAUGCAAGUCGAACGGAAAGGCCCUGCCUUUGUGGGGUGCUCGAGUGGCGAACGGGAGAGUAACACGUGAGUAACCUGCCCUUGACUUUGGGAUAACUUCAGGAAACUGGGGCUAAUACCGGACAGGAGCUCCUGCUGCAUUGUGGGGGUUGGACAGUUUCGGCGGUUGGGGAUGGACUCGCGGCUUAUCAGCUUGUUGGGGGGGUAGGGGCGUACGAAGGCUUUGACGGGUAGCCGGCCUGAGAGGGUGACCGGCCACAUUGGGACUGAGAUACGGCCCAGACUCCUACGGGAGGCAGCAGUGGGGAAUAGUGCACAGUGGGCGGAAGCCGGAUGCAGCAACGCCGCGUGCGUGAUGACGGCCUUCGGGUUGUAAACCGCUUUCGCCUGUGACGAAGCGUGAGUGACGGUAGUGGGUAAAGAAGCACCGGCUAACUACGUG